CUGAUACAGUGAGUGGGUGAUGGAGAGAAUGGAUGAAGUAAUCUAAUUUCUGAAGUUGUGUUUUCUUUGUUUUUCAUGCCAGGAAGAAGAAACAAAGCAGCCAGUAGGGAAAAGAAACCAAAGGAAUCCUUCCAAUAAGACAUCUAUAUUCCAGAAAGAAGUUGAAGACUCACUUGAGGACUCUGAGGGAGUAGCAACAGAGCAACCCUUAGGAAAAG